GGGAGGGGAGGGAAAUGGUCAGGAAGGCUUCUCUUGGGACAUGACCUCUAAGCAGACCCUAUAUGCUGAGAAAGAGCUGGAAGAUCAGGGGAAGAAGAAGCCAAAUGUACCAGGAGGCCCUGAGAUGGGAGUGGGCUUGGUCAGUGUUAGGAAAGGCUGCCAUUUAUUGUUCAAUAACUACUUGCCAGGCAGUGUGCCUAGUUCUUAAAUGCAGUAUCUAAUUGAUCCUAUGAGCUCAGUGAUAACACUAUCCCUUCCAAUUACUCAAGAGGUAGGAGCUACUCUAAUUCAUUCCUGUCUUAAGAAUGAAGAAGCUGAGAGGCAGAAAAGAUAAAUAAUUUGCCCAUAGGUAUCCCAGGCCAAGUAAAUGAGGGGCCCAGCAUUUCAUGGGAGUCACCGUACCCCAAAGCUUUCGUUCUCUAGUGAUCAUUGCUCACACUGCCUCCUGCUGCCCCGGUCUCUCAUUCUGAUUAAACCUCACCUCUGGCCUUCACUACCACUCACCUCCAAGGGGCACCCCUUCCCUGUCAGAGCCCCUCUGACCUGCCUCUGGCCUGUCCCCCUGCUUCACCCUUAGCUUCCAUUCAGUUCUGUGUUAGUGUCUCACCUCUGUUCCUUCCCAGCUGCUGUUUCACCUGUUCCCAAAGCCCACAGCCUGGUUUCUACCACCCUGUCCACACACCUUUUCCAGAAGAAUUGUCCUUACAUAUGACUUCAUCAUCACCCUCGAGUUAAACCCCCAGUGAGUUCUGAUGCUCUCAGUUUCAAAGGAGAUCAAGUAUUUUAAACCUUAUCAAUGACACUGAGAAUAAUGUCCCCUUACAUUGGAGGAGGAUGUUGAAGUGGGCAAGACGUUCACUGUUAAUGUGUCCCU
rnacentral:lncRNA from 1 species